UACGUAGGGGGCUAGCGUUGUCCGGAAUCAUUGGGCGUAAAGAGCGUGUAGGCGGUUUGGUAGGUCCGCUGUGAAAACUCGAGGCUCAACCUCGAGACGCCGGUGGAAACCAUCAGGCUAGAGUCCGGAAGAGGAGAGUGGAAUUCCUGGUGUAGCGGUGAAAUGCGCAGAUAUCAGGAAGAACACCCGUGGCUAAGGCGGCUCUCUAGUACGGUACUGACGCUGAGACGCGAAAGCGUAGGGAUCAAACAGG
rnacentral:rRNA from 1 species